rnacentral:rRNA from 1 species
GCGCAGCAGUCGCGAAUAGUCUACAAUGGACGAAAGUCUGAUAGUGCGACGCCGUGUGUGCGAUUAAUUCCUUCGGGAUGUAAAGCACUUUUCUAUGAGAUAAAAGCUCUUUAGGUUAAUAGCUUAUUGAGACGGAUAUUAUUAUAGGAAUAAGCUCCGGCUAACUCCGUGCCAGCAGCCGCGGUAAUACGGAAGGAGCGAGCGUUGUCCGGAUUUACUAGGCGUAAAGGGCUAGUAGGCGACUAAUUAAGUUAUAUGUUAAAUCCCACGGCUCAACUGUGGUCCUGCAUGUAAUACUGGUUAGAUAGAGUACUGUAGAGGAAGGCAGAAUUCCUGGAGUAGCGGUGGAAUGCGCAGAUAUCAGGAAGAAUACCAAAAGCGAAGGCAGCCUUCUGGGCAGUUACUGACGCUGAAUAGCGAAGGUGUGGGUAGCGAACAGGAUUAGAUACCCGUGUAGU